rnacentral:lncRNA from 1 species
CCCAAAGUUUGGGGCUGCCCCAGAAUCUUGGGGUUUGGCCCCAAAAUCCUCAGGGGGGGAGCCCUGAAAUAUUUGGGGGGGUGCGCAUUGAUUUGGGGGAGGGACCCCAAACUUUAGGGUGAGAAAUCAGGAAUUUGGGGUCAGGCCCAGCUUUGGAGUGUUGCAGAGGGGUUUUAGGGUGAAAAGUCAGGAUUUGGGGUAUGGGGAUGGUUUGGGGGGGGAAGAGCAGCAGGUUUGGGGGGGUGGUGGCUGGAUUUGGGGACAAAGUUACAGGAAUUGGGGAUUUGGGGGUCAUUUGGGAGGGGAGUGGGUGCAGUUUUGGGGCAAAGCAGCAGGAUUUGGGGAUUAUGGAGUCAUUUAUAGGAUUUGGGGCACAGCAGCAGGAUUUGGGGAUUCUGGGGUCAUUUAUAGGAUUUGGGGGCACAGCAGCAGGAUUUGGGGAUUCUGGGGCCAUUUAUAGGAUUUGGGGCACAGCAGCCGGAUUCAGCGAUUCUGGGCUCGUUUGCAAGGUUUCCGCGGUGCCGUUUGGGUUCAAAACAGCCAGAUUUGGGUCUUGGGGGGGGGUCGAGUCUCACCUGGUCCCCGGGGGGGCCGGGGGGCAGCAGGCCGUGGGGCAGGUCGUGCUCCAGGUUGCGGGCGCCGGGGUCGGCCCCCCAGGCCAGCAGCAGCCGCACCAGGGGCUCCUGGCUGGGCCCCCCCGGCAGCGCCGCCGCCAUGUGCAGGGGGGUGUUCCCGUGGGCCUGGGGGGGGACACGGGGGGGACAUGUCAGCCUGGGGGUGUCCCUGGGGCCCAUAGGGACCCCUAGGGACCUCCAGAACCCCUAUAGUGCUCCUGGGGCCUAUAGGGACCUCUGGAACCUCUAUGGGGCUUUUAUGGUCUAUAGGGACCCGUAGGGACCUCCAACCCCCCCCAUGGUGCUCCUGGAGCCCAUAGGGACCUCCAGAACCCCUAUAGUGCUCCUGGGGCCUAUAGGGACCUCUGGAACCUCUAUGGGGCUUCUGUGGUCUAUACGGAUCCAUAGGGACCUCCAGAACCCCUAUAGUGCUCCUGGGACCUAUAGGGACCUCCAGAACCCCUAUAGUGCUCCUGGGGCCCAUAGGGACCUCUGGAACCUCUACGGGGCUUCUAUGGUCUAUAGGGACCCAUAGGGACCUCCAACCCCCCCAUGGUGUUCCUGAGACUUAUAGGGACCCCCAGACCCCCUACAGGGCUCCUAUGGUCUAUAGGGGCCCCUAGGGACCUCCAGAACCCCUAUAGUGCUCCUGGGGCCCAUAGCGACCUCUGGAACCUCUACGGGGCUUCUAUGGUUUAUAGGGACCCAUAGGGACCUCCAAUCCCCCCAUGGGGCUCGUAUGGUCUAUAGGGACCUAUAGGGACCGCCACCCCCCCAUGGUGCUUUUAUGGUCUAUAGGGACCCGUAGGGAUCUCCAGAACCCCUAUAGUGCUCCUGGGACCUAUAGGGACCUCCACCCCCCCCCGUGGUGCUCCUGGGACCCAUAGGGACCUCUGGAACCUUUAUGGGGCUUCUAUGGUCUAUAGGAACCCGUAGGGACCUCCAGAACCCCUAUAGUGCUCCUGGAGCCCAUAGGGACCUCUGGAACCUCUAUGGGGCUUUUGUGGUCUAUAGGGACCUAUAGGGACCUCCAGAACCCCUAAAGUGCUCCUGGGGCCCAUAGGGACCUACAGAACCUCUACGGGGCUUCCAUGGUCUAUAGGGUCCCAUAGGGACCUUCAGACUCCCAUAGGGUGCUCCUGGGACCCAUAGGCGCUUCCAGGGACCUCCACAACCCCCUUGGCACCCCUAG